AGAGUUGAUCAUGGCUCAGGAUGAACGCUGGCGGCGUGCCUAACACAUGCAAGUCGAACGAAGCAUACGGACCGGAGAUUCGUCGAAGGACCGUAUGACUCAGUGGCGGACGGGUGAGUAAUGUAUGAGCAACCUGCCUUUCAGAGGGGGACAACAGUUGGAAACGACUGCUAAUACCGCGUAACGUAUCGUGAGGGCAUCCUCGUGAUACCAAAGGAGCAAUCCGCUGAAAGAUGGGCUCAUAUCUGAUUAGCUUGUUGGCGGGGUAACGGCCACCAAGGCGACGAUCAGUAGCCGGACUGAGAGGUUGAACGGCCACAUUGGGACUGAGAUACGGCCCAGACUCCUACGGGAGGCAGCAGUGGGGAAUAUUGGGCAAUGGGCGAAAGCCUCGACCCAGCAACGCCGCGUGAAGGAAGAAGGUCUUCGGAUUGUAAACUUCUUUUAUGAGGGACGAAGGACGUGACGGUACCUCAUGAAUAAGCCACGGCUAACUACGUGCCAGCAGCGGC
rnacentral:rRNA from 1 species